rnacentral:rRNA from 1 species
UACAGAGGUCUCAAGCGUUGUUCGGAUUCAUUGGGGCGUAAAGGGUGCGUAGGCGGCGCGGUAAGUCGGGUGUGAAAUCUUGGAGCUUAACUCCGAAACUGCAUUCGAUACUGCCGUGCUUGAGGACUGGAGAGGAGACUGGAAUUUACGGUGUAGCGGUGAAAUGCGUAGAUAUCGUAAGGAAGACCAGUGGCGAAGGCGGGUCUCUGGACAGUUCCUGACGGCU